GUCCUCAGAGCCUUCAAGAGGUCUCAGGCAACCAGGACCUUGCAGGAUCAAGCCCCCAUGGACUGAACGAACACUCAGUUUUCUCAUCUAUGAAAUGGGGACAAUGAUACCUACCCUCCUUUAUAAAACACUGAAAUCUAUGGAUGAAAAACUCUAUCAGAGCGAAGUAUUAUUUUUAUAUGGAUGAACUGUUACUUUCCAAAAUAUUUUCAGAGGUUAAACUUUUAAUCCUGCUCUAACACAGCAACUGACAUCCCUCCAUUCUAAUGAGACUGUCUCCUGAACCCCAGCUGGAGAUGAUUCUCAAAGAAGAGGAAGAGGUACAAGAAUGGGGAACAGAUGCCCCAAAAUUUCCUCCCUUUCUCAAUCCAUGGCAGCCACAACAUCUGAGGGGGGGAAAGUAAUAGCUUUGGACUGAUGGAGGGAUCCUGUCUGAAAGGAAUUCUGCCAGUAGGACUACUGAAGCAUGUGCUGUUCCAGGCCAUCCCCAAGUCCCAUGCUCAGGUGUCACCUUCAGCUGCCCACACAGACUCCACUCCAAAGAGAGACUGCAGAGCUAGAAUUGAUAUGCAAACUAGACACAAUCAACUCCGGUUUGAAUAAGGACUGGGAAUGGCUGAGCCAUUACAAACAUUGACUCUAUCUCCCCUUGUAAGUACUCUCACACCUAUUAUCAAACUGUCUGUACUGGCCUAGCUUGAUUAUCACUUCAAAAGUUUUUUUUUUUUUCUUAAUUAAUUGGCCUCUCAGAGUUGGUAAGACAACUCCCACCUGUUUAUGCU